UUACCCAAUCAUCUCUGUCGUGUAGCCUUGGCUGUGACCCCUGUUGGCUGGCCUCCCUUGGGUCCUGUCUAGUUUUAAGCCUGGAUCCGCAGAUUUCCCAUCCAUUCCGUGAACUCCCUGGUAGUCUAUCAACCAGCUCUUUCUCCGUGUGUGUUCGCAAGCAUUGUUUUCUGCUGCUGGCCACCAAGAUCUCAGCUCACACAACCAGAGGAAAGAUGUCUGUGUUCGUGCCCAGCCGGCCACCUUUGCUGACACAUUAGUUUCCCGUUGCUGCUGUAACAAAUCCCCACAAACGUUAAUGACUUCAAACAGCACCAACUUAUUAUCUGACCGUCUUGAGGUCAGAUGUCUGAAAUGGGCCUUACAGGCUAAAAUCCAGGUGUCAGUUCCUCCUAUAGGUUCUAGAAAAGACUGUUCCCUUGCCUUUUCCACCUGUGUUCCUUGGGUCCUGGACCCCUUCUCCAUCUUCAAAGAGCAUCACUCCAACCUUAUUGCACCUCUUUCCUGACUCUGACCCUCCUGUUUCCCUCUCGUAAGGACCCACGUGAUGACAUUGGCCACCCGGACAAUCCAGGAUAAUCUUCCCUACCUGAAGUUCCUUAACUUCGGCAUAGUCGCAAGGUCCCUUUUGCCACGUAAGGAAGUUCCAUCGGACCGCACUAUUAGAUCUAAGAUUCCAUCGCUGAUUCACCCCCUGAGUCCAGCUGGCAGGUAACAAGAAAAGAAUUUCUCUGGCACGCUGUAAUUUGAGAGGCCUCCCCACCAAAAAUAUUUUCCUUACUUACAAAAGAAAGUAUCUGAGUGUUCAUCAUCCAUUUCUUCAGAUGAAAGUGCCUCUGUGUAAACUUUAAAUAAAAAGCAAAUAUCUCAGCAAUA